UACGGAGGGUGCGAGCGUUGUCCGGAAUCACUGGGCGUAAAGGGCGCGUAGGCGGCGCGGGAAGUCCGUGGUGAAAGCCCGAGGCUCAACUUCGGGUCGGCCAUGGAUACUCCUGGGCUUGAGCACUGUAGAGGCAGGUGGAAUUCCGGGUGUAGCGGUGGAAUGCGUAGAGAUCCGGAAGAACACCGGUGGCGAAAGCGGCUUCCUGGUCCAGCACCGACGUCAGGCACGAAAGCGUGGGGAGCAAACAGG
rnacentral:rRNA from 1 species